rnacentral:sRNA from 1 species
GAACGUAUUCUCAUGGUACUUACAGAGCUGGCCCAAUGCGACAAAUAAGCUUGGUGGGAGCAGUUGAUGAAGAAGUAGGAGAUUAUUUCCCUGAGUUCCUUGACAUGUUGGAAGAGUCACCAUUUUUAAAAUGUACACUGCCAUGGGGGACGCUAUCUAGUCUAAAAUUACAGAGUCGAAAAGAUAGUGAUGAUGGUCCCAUCAUGUGGGUUCGUCCAGGAGAACAAAUGAUCCCUGUGGCUGAUAUGCCAAAGUCACCUUUCAAAAGGAAAAGAACUACCAAUGAAAUAAAAAAUCUUCAGUACCUACCUCGAACAAGUGAGCCCCGUGAGAUGCUCUUUGAAGACAGGACAAGAGCUCAUGCAGAUCAUAUAGGACAAGGUUUUGAACGACAGACUACAGCUGCUGUUGGAGUGCUGAAGGCUGUGCACUGUGGAGAGUGGUAUAUAUAACUACUGCUAUUUUAAUGAAAGAAUUUCUUGGCUUCUACAAUUUUUCUUGGAAAAUCUUAGUAAUUCCUCCUUACUGUGGGAAAAAGUUUCAUUUUUUACCCGUAUUUGGAUAUCUUAAUUG